rnacentral:lncRNA from 1 species
UGGCACGUUCACAUCGCUCAUCCUGGAGUAAACCUCCAUGGCGUUGAGGAUAGGCGGGAGGGUGGAGUUGUCCAGAGCCUGAAUGGUGACGUUGUACUGCUGAUACCCCUCUGCGGGAUUGGUGCCGAAGAUGGCGUCGGAGAAGAGGUAGUCCGGGGUGAAAGGCUUGGCGUACCAGAGCUGCCCGUUGAGGUAGACGUAGAAUUGGCGGGACAUGUUGCCGGUGAGGGUCAGGAACUCGGAGAAGUACAUGACCGCGUAGUACUCGUUGACGUCCCCGAGCUCCGGUUCCCAUGAAAUCAUCAGCUUGGUGGAGUUCACGGGGAUCACCGCCGUCUGCAUGACGGCGGAAGGGGCUUCGAAUUUGUCGUCGACGAAGUUCUCCACGGUGGAGUUGGUGGAUGUCUCCGCCCAGAAGGGGAUGUUGUUGAAGGGAUCCCAGAUGCGAUCGUGAGAGUCGUCAGGAUACCUGAUGAUAACCAGGAUGACGACGACAAGAAUAGCAAUGUAUCCAUCAAUCCUCGGGCACCGAAACAUGAUCUGCUUACCUGAUGAACGUAUCAGUUGGUCCCAUGUUGAGCCGCCGGGUGAGAACCAGAGAGCGAGAGGCGUUGACGGCGGGGUAAAGGAUCUCCUUCAGUGGCCUCACGUCCAGCCCCGAAAUGAAUG